GGCGGUUGUCACGGGCCCGAUGGGAGUUCCAGGUCGUGACUUGAGAGUCAUCAUUAUCAUUCCAAGUGGCGACCAUGGUUUUCUUCUUGAAGUUCUUUGGGACACUCUUCUUAUUUGGGCAUUCAUAUUUAGUGUAUCUCAUUUUUUUACACUCAUAGCAUAUCAAGUGGUAUUUGCUAUGUUCCGCUUUUGGCGUAUCUCUUCUAGGAAAUCUCCUAUUUCUAUAGUUCUUUCUCAUAAAUUUACUAAAUCUUUUGGCUAGCAUGGCUAUGUCUUCAUUUUCC
rnacentral:lncRNA from 1 species